CCCGUAAAUCCGAACUUGUG
rnacentral:miRNA from 7 species